CAGCCGCCGCGGGAAUACGAAGGGUGCGAGCGUUAAUCGGAAUUACUGGGCGUAAAGCGUGCGUAGGCGGUUUGUUAAGUCUGUUGUGAAAUCCCCGGGCUCAACCUGGGAAUGGCAAUGGAUACUGGCAAGCUAGAGUGUGUCAGAGGAUGGUGGAAUUCCCGGUGUAGCGGUGAAAUGCGUAGAGAUCGGGAGGAACAUCAGUGGCGAAGGCGACUAUCUGGGCCAACACUGACACUGAGGCACGAAAGCGUGGGGAGCAAACAGGAUUAGAGACCCCUGUAGUCCCUGUCUCUUAUAC
rnacentral:rRNA from 1 species